AACAGACGAGGAGCUUGCUCCUCUGACGUUAGCGGCGGACGGGUGAGUAACACGUGGAUAACCUACCUAUAAGACUGGGAUAACUUCGGGAAACCGGAGCUAAUACCGGAUAAUAUAUUGAACCGCAUGGUUCAAUAGUGAAAGACGGUUUUGCUGUCACUUAUAGAUGGAUCCGCGCCGCAUUAGCUAGUUGGUAAGGUAACGGCUUACCAAGGCAACGAUGCGUAGCCGACCUGAGAGGGUGAUCGGCCACACUGGAACUGAGACACGGUCCAGACUCCUACGGGAGGCAGCAGUAGGGAAUCUUCCGCAAUGGGCGAAAGCCUGACGGAGCAACGCCGCGUGAGUGAUGAAGGUCUUCGGAUCGUAAAACUCUGUUAUUAGGGAAGAACAAAUGUGUAAGUAACUAUGCACGUCUUGACGGUACCUAAUCAGAAAGCCACGGCUAACUACGUGCCAGCAGCCGCGGUAAUACGUAGGUGGCGAGCGUUAUCCGGAAUUAUUGGGCGUAAAGCGUGCGUAGGCGGUUUUUUAAGUCUGAUGUGAAAGCCCACGGCUCAACCGUGGAGGGUCAUUGGAAACUGGAAAACUUGAGUGCAGAAGAGGAAAGUGGAAUUCCAUGUGUAGCGGUGAAAUGCGCAGAGAUAUGGAGGAACACCAGUGGCGAAGGCGACUUUCUGGUCUGUAACUGACGCUGAUGUGCGAAAGCGUGGGGAUCAAACAGGAUUA
rnacentral:rRNA from 1 species